AGUGAACGCUGGCGGUAGGCCUAACACAUGCAAGUCGAACGGCAGCACAGGUGAGCUUGCUCUCUGGGUGGCGAGUGGCGGACGGGUGAGGAAUACAUCGGAAUCUACUUUUUCGUGGGGGAUAACGUAGGGAAACUUACGCUAAUACCGCAUACGACCUACGGGUGAAAGCAGGGGAUCUUCGGACCUUGCGCGAUUGAAUGAGCCGAUGUCGGAUUAGCUAGUUGGCGGGGUAAAGGCCCACCACGGCGACGAUCCGUAGCUGGGCUGAGGGGAUGAGAAGCCAGACGGGAACUGAGACACGGUCCAGACUCCGACGGGAGGCGGCAGUGGGGAAUAUUGGACAAUGGGCGCAAGCCGGAUCCAGCCAUACCGGGUGGGUGAAGAAGGCCUUCGGGUUGUAAAGCCCUUUUGUUGGGAAAGAAAUCCAGCUGGUUAAUACCCGGUUGGGAUGACGGUACCCAAAGAAUAAGCACCGGCUAACUUCGUGCCAGCCGCCGCCGUAA
rnacentral:rRNA from 1 species